rnacentral:misc_RNA from 1 species
GCGGUGAAUGUUCUGGACGAUGAGCGGGAACGACGCCUCGCCGCGGUACUUCUUGCGCGGCUCCCCCACCGUGCACCCCGGCGGGUCGGCCCAGAACGCCUUGUAGUAGGCGCCGCGGUAGUAGUAGCAGGUGAUGCGGAAGCCUCCCGGCGCCCAGAGGAUGAAGAACGCAG